GCUUACAGCCAUAACACACUGAGCGCGCCUGAUUUCGUACAAUCUCGGAAGCUAAGCAGUGCUGAGCCUGGUUAGUACUUGGAUGGGAGACCAACUGGGAAUACCAGGUGCUGUAAACU
ensembl:rRNA 5S_rRNA 5S ribosomal RNA